rnacentral:lncRNA from 1 species
CAGUAAGCAAAAAUUUGCCCUGCUACACUAAUAGUUCACUUAUGUAAUCUGAAUAACAGAGUUAAUCAGAACUUUCAUUAAAAAAACUGAUGCCAUUCUUGAUUGCAUUUUAUACACAAAUUACCUGGGCUUUCCUUACCUACUAGUAGAAUUCUUCUAGCAGAAGAGUUAAAUUUAGUCUCUCCGAUUUAGAAAAUCCCUAGCAUUUCUGUUAUCCAUCUGACUGGACACUGGUUUGGAGGAAAGCCAGCUGUGUGUCAGUAACGUCAUGCUGUUGGGUGCCAGAGAAGCAGCAUGAUUGUCCUCCUUAACCCAGAAAUUCAGCUGUGUGUGAGAGCAAUUCACAUCACCUGUGCUUCUGGGAGGACCGUGGCAAGUUAGCAGUAGUUCUUGUAAAAGCAAGUCAAAUGGGGAGGCAGCACAACAAGGAAAUCACUCCCUUCUCAAAAGGAUGCAAAAUAUCUGAAACCUUUCCAGUAAGGUUUAUAUUUAGUUAGUGAAGAAGUCUGGGAUUCCUUCCUGCUGCAUACCCAGUGAGAAUACAAGUGUCCAUAGGUCCAAUUGGUCUUUAAAGGAGAGCUCAUUUCAAGACUCUUCUACCCAUGCUAUCAUAGUAUUGCAAAGGACUAAGACCUGAGAUCCUGCUGAGGUGAAUGGAGUGAGUGGAUCCCUGAGUGUUCUGGAAUAAGGUUUGCGCUGCAUCCUGUGGGAUAUUAGAACGAGCUGCCAAGAAGCUAGAAGGCGGUUAUUUCUAGACAAUAUAUCUAUAGACCACAGAGCACAUGGCAGUCUCCAAGGAAGACAACGUGUUGCAGACUGCUGGAGAACUCUUCCCUUGCAGGCAACUUCUGUGGGAGACGAAAGGAGAUGCCAGGUAAGAGGUGAUAUGGCUGCCCUGGGGAACUUGUUUCAGCACCACAAUUUUGGUGCAUAUAUGGGAAAAGAGGUUUUAUUUUUAAGUUAACUGUAUCAGGUUUGGGCAGUCAAAUACUUGUGAAACAUGUUGAAUGAUCUUGAAAGUGGAU